rnacentral:rRNA from 1 species
UACGGAGGGUGCGAGCGUUGUCCGGAAUCACUGGGCGUAAAGGGCGCGUAGGUGGCUUUUCAAGCGCGCGGUGAAAGCCCGGGGCUCCGAACCCCGGGUCCGGCCGGUGCGGACUGGGAGGCUCGAGCACUGUAGGGGCGGGUGGAAUUCCGGGUGUAGCGGUGGAAUGCGUAGAGAUCCGGAAGAACACCGGUGGCGAAGGCAGGUCUCUGGGCCACUACUGACGCUGAGAAGCGAAAGCAUGGGGAGCGAACAGG